GACGAACGCUGGCGGCGUGCUUAACACAUGCAAGUCGAACGGAAAGGCCCUGCUUUUGUGGGGUGCUCGAGUGGCGAACGGGUGAGUAACACGUGAGUAACCUGCCCUUGACUUUGGGAUAACUUCAGGAAACUGGGGCUAAUGCCGGAUAGGAGCUCCUGCUGCAUGGUGGGGGUUGGAAAGUUUCGGCGGUUGGGGAUGGACUCGCGGCUUAUCAGCUUGUUGGUGGGGUAGUGGCUUACCAAGGCUUUGACGGGUAGCCGGCCUGAGAGGGUGACCGGCCACAUUGGGACUGAGAUACGGCCCAGACUCCUACGGGAGGCAGCAGUGGGGAAUAUUGCACAAUGGGCGGAAGCCUGAUGCAGCAACGCCGCGUGCGGGAUGGCGGCCUUCGGGUUGUAAACCGCUUUCGCCUGUGACGAAGCGUGAGUGACGGUAAUGGGUAAAGAAGCACCGGCUAACUACGUG
rnacentral:rRNA from 1 species